rnacentral:lncRNA from 1 species
CUGGCACGGCUGUCAUAAAAUGCAACUGAAAUUCGUAUCUAUGGAAACAGGCUGGCUCCUUCGCUCCUUUUGCUUUUCUUGCUCCCUUAUUGCUGUGGUGGCCUGAUGGGUCUAGAUUCCAGGCUGUGCUCUCAGAGGUGGACACGGGGGCUCCUUCAGCCAUGCCCUGGACGCUCUCCAGUGUCCACUGGCCUCACACUUCCUCUCACCAGGGGGCAACCUAUCAUCAAAAUACAUCGUUGGCAGGUCCAGCUUAUCUGUGUGGAAAAUAGACUGGGAAGGUAGAGGGAGCAGAGUUAGGCCAUUUGGAGGCUUCACCAUUCAGGUAAAACACAAGUCAUUUUAGUAGCUAAAGGUUCUGUGGAAAUCCUUUCCAGUUCACCAGCACGCCCCUGCCUCCGGCCUGGGUAGCUCAGGAACGCUUCCAGAACGCGGCGCAGAGCGGUCUUGUACCACUAGGGGGCGAUGCGGUGUCUC